GGGGGUGCUUGGGAGAAGCUGAGUCUGAGCAGAUUGUGUGAGCUUGCAGGUCUGAAGGCUUCUGUCAGAGGGAGCUUAAUUGCUUUAGCCAAAAUCAAGUUGGAGAGAUGUGUGGAGCCUCAGACACAAAUCCUGACUGUUGGGGGAUGCUUUGCUAGCAGAAGGCGGAGCUGCUGGAAACCCAGUUCCUCCUUGCAAGUGGUUCAGAAUGGCAUUCCCUUGGGAAAAUGGGGACAGAAACAUCUCUCUGGUGAGUUGCCGUGAAGUGCCAGCCUUGGGGAGUGAUCUCUGACCACUUGGAACUUCUUAUUUGGAGGAAAGGAAUUUCUUCCCUAGGCUUGUUACCUCCUGCUCUGUUAGCCCCUUUUGCGGAAGGCAGGAGAGGAGUUGGAUUAAGAGCCCUCCUGGUCGGUUCUGCUGUUCAGGAGGGGCUUAGUAUUUCUGUAUUACUUUUACUACUUGUUGAGAAUUGUUCAUGUUUGUAACCAUCUGUAUGUGUUGUGUAUAUAUGCUUGUAUAUUUGUGCCACACUGUAAAUAGAGUUUAAUUCCUUAACUUCCAGCUGCCUGAGUUAGCCUGGUGAAUUGGUGUGGGGGAGGGCAGGAAACUGCCAAAUGACCACAUCUGUAUUUAAUGUAUGUUCCUUUCUGCUUGCCAGCUGGAGAGCUGUUGCUGCUGAUUGGCAGCAGGCCCUUAAAGGGCAGGGGUGGGUUGAGGUUUUAAAUGCUUGCUCUAAAUAGCAUUGAUGGGUUUAGAAACCUCCUUGCAAUUAUAUAUUAGAUUGUGGGAAGUUGAUUGUUUGUUAAACUAGCAAGGAUUGACCCAAAUCUAUUAAAUCUUUUUUUGUCAAA